rnacentral:misc_RNA from 1 species
UCAUAUAGUUAAAUAGCAGUCCCCUAAAACCUUAAAAACAUCGUUUUUAAGACAACUUAGGGCGAGGGUUGCGCUCGUUAAAGGAAUUAACCAAACAUUUCACAACACGAGCUGACGACAGCCAUGCAAGACCUGUUAGGGGAGUUCUAACUUUUAAAUUUAUAAUAAAAGUUACUAGCUUGCUAAACUAGCAUUAUCCCCUUCUGUCCUGAAUUGGUAAGAUUUUGCGCGUUGUAUCGGAUUAAACCACAUGCUCCACCGCUUGUACAAAUCUCAGUCAAUUUCUUUGAAUUUCAACCUUGCGGCUGUACUACUCAGGCGGAGUGUUUAACGCGUUAGCUAAGACACCGAGAUACCUCCCGACAUCAAACACUCAUCGUUUACGGCAUAGACUAC